AUGUGUAUAUUUGUGGGUUUACAUGUGUAUAUGGUGUGUAUGUGGUUUUAUACACACACACACACACACACACACACACACACACACACACACA
rnacentral:miRNA from 1 species